GUGUUCGUGAAAAGGAGAAAUGGUUGGCAUCUCCCCUAACAGGGAUGGGAACAGGAUUCGGGCUUUCUUGUUACACACCUCUGUUAAGGUAUCCACCUCUUUGAUGUUGGAUCUAUAAAAAAUAUUUU